GGGCCCGAUAGGACCAUCUGGACAAAAAGGAGAAUAUGGCUUCCCCGGUCGCCCAGGCCGAUCUGGUUUGCCUGGAAGGAAAGGUGACAAAGCAGAUUCUGUCGGUCUACCGGGACCUCGAGGUCUUCCGGGCCCACCGGGAAAUCCAGGAAAAAUAAUUGGGCUGAAAGGAGUAAGUUUCCAUCUGUAGUUUUUUAUUUCUCUAAUUUGCCAUUUUCAGUUGGUGAAUUGGGACAUGAUGAUACACAGCACAGAUAUAUGUUAGGAAUAUCUUAAAGGACCAGUGUGUAGGAUUUAGGGGGAUUUAUUGGCAGAUAUGGAAUAAAAUAUUUGGAGAUGCUAUUUCUAGAGUUAAAUGUAUGUAUGUAUAAAUUAGUCCAGUAACUGUGA
rnacentral:lncRNA from 1 species